ACACUGCACCCGGGGGUGGAACAGUAGUGUGUGAAGAGAGGAACAUGAAAUUCAUUAUUCACCGGAACUGGGCCAGCAUUUGAACUGUGGCUAGCCUGUUGCCCAACUCCAGGUGGCGCCACUCACGGGGAGUUUUAUUUCCAGAAAAGCCCUUCCCAGAAAACAGGGCAUGUACGGUGCCCCCUGGAGUUGUGUGAGGAUACCCUACUAGUUUGGAUUCAACAAACAAUUGAGAUGAGCAUGGUGGCCUAGAGACGAUCUCUCUUCUGUUGGCAUUUGAGAACAUCAUCAACAAAGCACAGAACAACAUUUGAUUGAGUCACCAGAAGCCAGCAUUCACAGGUGGCUCAGUGGAUGAUACAACAUCCAAUGUUCCUCACAAAGGUGAAUGAUUUCCUGCUGCAAAGACUGUGAGGCAUCAUUUUUCCAAUUAGAAGUGUUGCUUUGUCAUUGGACUACAUAUAUCUGGAUACCAUAAUGAUAAUGGACUUGCUUCCCUUUUAAUUUCAUGAUUGAGCAUUUAUAUCCUGAGUUAGACCCAGUCUGACAAAGGCACUGACAUGGAGGAGCUCAUGGUCUGAUGGGGAUAACAGAUCCCUCCAUCCUCCAAUUGGCUGAAUCUGAACAGUACAUAAACAAGCAGAUUAACUGAGGCUCAGUGAAGUCUUUUACGGUGGAAGUAACGUCUGGAACCAGCUGUAUUACAAGCCUUUCCAAAGUCCAUCUCCCAGGACAGGGAAGAGAGAAUAAAAGAACUCUG
rnacentral:lncRNA from 10 species